AUUGAACGCUGGCGGCAUGCCUUACACAUGCAAGUCGAACGGCAGCACGGGAGCAAUCCUGGUGGCGAGUGGCGAACGGGUGAGUAAUAUAUCGGAACGUGCCCAGUCGUGGGGGAUAACGCAGCGAAAGCUGUGCUAAUACCGCAUACGAUCUAAGAAUGAAAGCGGGGGAUCGCAAGACCUCGCGCGAUUGGAGCGGCCGAUAUCAGAUUAGCUAGUUGGUGGGGUAAAGGCCCACCAAGGCGACGAUCUGUAGCUGGUCUGAGAGGACGACCAGCCACACUGGAACUGAGACACGGUCCAGACUCCUACGGGAGGCAGCAGUGGGGAAUUUUGGACAAUGGGCGCAAGCCUGAUCCAGCAAUGCCGCGUGCAGGAUGAAGGCCUUCGGGUUGUAAACUGCUUUUGUACGGAACGAAACGGCCCUUUCUAAUACAGGGGGGCUAAUGACGGUACCGUAAGAAUAAGCACCGGCUAACUACGUGCCAGCAGCCGCAGUAA
rnacentral:rRNA from 1 species